GACGAACGCUGGCGGCGUGCCUAAUACAUGCAAGUCGAGCGAAUCUGAUGGGAGCUUGCUCCUUGAUGAUUAGCGGCGGACGGGUGAGUAACACGUGGGUAACCUGCCUGUAAGACUGGGAUAACUCCGGGAAACCGGGGCUAAUACCGGAUAACUUUUUUCUUCGCAUGAGGGAGAAUUGAAAGAUGGCUUCGGCUAUCACUUACAGAUGGACCCGCGGCGCAUUAGCUAGUUGGUGAGGUAACGGCUCACCAAGGCGACGAUGCGUAGCCGACUUGAGAGGGUGAUCGGCCACACUGGGACUGAGACACGGCCCAGACUCCUACGGGAGGCAGCAGUAGGGAAUCUUCCGCAAUGGACGAAAGUCUGACGGAGCAACGCCGCGUGAGUGAUGAAGGUUUUCGGAUCGUAAAACUCUGUUGUUAGGGAAGAACAAGUAUCGUUCGAAUAGGGCGGUACCUUGACGGUACCUAAACAGAAAGCCACGGCUAACUACGUG
rnacentral:rRNA from 1 species